UGGGGGUAUAUGCUAAAUCACAUUAAUCAAACGGGUAUUAUGCGUCUCGAUUUGAUGCUUUAUCACCUUGGAGAAUUGAUCCCCUUU
rfam:Spinacia oleracea cultivar SynViroflay scaffold65188.1, whole genome shotgun sequence.